rnacentral:rRNA from 1 species
GACGAACGCUGGCGGCGUGCUUAACACAUGCAAGUCGAACGGAAAGGCCCUGCUUUUGUGGGGUGCUCGAGUGGCGAACGGGUGAGUAACACGUGAGUAACCUGCCCUUGACUUUGGGAUAACUUCAGGAAACUGGGGCUAAUACCGGAUAGGAGCUCCUGCUGCAUGGUGGGGGUUGGAAAGUUUCGGCGGUUGGGGAUGGACUCGCGGCUUAUCAGCUUGUUGGUGGGGUAGUGGCUUACCAAGGCUUUGACAGGUAGCCGGCCUGAGAGGGUGACCGGCCACAUUGGGACUGAGAUACGGCCCAGACUCCUACGGGAGGCAGCAGUGGGGAAUAUUGCACAGUGGGCGGAAGCCUGAUGCAGCAACGCCGCGUGCGGGAUGACGGCCUUCGGGUUGUAAACCGCUUUCGCCUGUGACGAAGCGUGAGUGACGGUAAUGGGUAAAGAAGCACCGGCUAACUACGUG